rnacentral:rRNA from 1 species
GAAUCCGCUAAGGAGUGUGUAACAACUCACCUGCCGAAUGAAUUAGCCCUGAAAAUGGAUGGCGCUGAAGCGGGUAGCCGACACCACGCCGUCUGGACAAAGUGGUUUUUUCAGAUGAGUAGGAGGGCGUGGCGGUUGUAUCGAAGCGUGGAUGCGAAUCUGCGUGGAACAGCCGCUAGUGCAGAUCUUGGUGGUAGUAGCAAAUAUUCAAGCGAGAUCCUUGAAGGGCGAAGCGGGGAAGGGUUCCACGCGAACAUUGAUUGGGCGUGGGUGAGUCGUUCCUAAGCCGCGUGGCAAUAGCUAAUUACCGGCGAAAGGGAAGCAGGUUGACAUUCCUGCACACGGAUGUGGAGACGGCGACGAUACGUGAGGCGAUCACGCUGGCGGUGGCGCUGGGCAGAGUUGUCUUUUCUGUUUGACCAUUGAAUACUUGCUGUGUGGAAUCCGCUUGUCGGGAGAAACACGCAGGUACGGGCAGAGCGCCGGGGCUUUUCCGGCGUCCAGCUCGCCACCGACGGCCCUUGAAAAAUUGCCUGCUGGACAACAUUUCGGUGUUGUGAGAUCCACGCCGUGGCGUACCGAUAACCGCAUCAGGUCCCCAAGGUGAACAGCCUCUGCUCAGUAUGAACAAUGCAGGUAAGGGAAGUCGGCA